UGUGGUGCCACCAAGAGAGUUCAGCAAAUCUGUUGUAAGUUGUGUGAGUACAUGGCUCACCUAUCAACAAUAGCUCUUUCUAAGCUUGAAGGUGAUCUGCAACUCUUUCACCAUCUGUAAUGCAGAGAUGCAGGAAGUUGGUGUUGGCCUAUAUCCUAGUAUCUCUUUGCUCAAUCACAGCUGUGACCCCAACUGUUCGAUUGUGUUUAAUGGGCCCCACCUCUUACUGCGAGCAGUCCGAGACAUCGAGGUGGGAGAGGAGCUCACUAUCUGCUACCUGGAUAUGCUGAUGACCAGUGAGGAGCGCCGGAAGCAGCUGAGGGACCAGUACUGCUUUGAAUGUGACUGUUUCCGUUGCCAAACCCAGGACAAGGAUGCUGAUAUGCUAACUGGUGAUGAGCAAGUAUGGAAGGAAGUUCAAGAAUCCCUGAAAAAAAUUGAAGAACUGAAGGCACACUGGAAGUGGGAGCAGGUUCUGGCCAUGUGCCAGGCGAUCAUAAGCAGCAAUUCUGAACGGCUUCCCGAUAUCAACAUCUACCAGCUGAAGGUGCUCGACUGCGCCAUGGAUGCCUGCAUCAACCUCGGCCUGUUGGAGGAAGCCUUGUUCUAUGGUACUCGGACCAUGGAGCCAUAC
rnacentral:sRNA from 1 species